rnacentral:miRNA from 1 species
AAUCACGACAUUGUAAGAUGCU